rnacentral:misc_RNA from 1 species
GUCAGUUAACAGGUGCUGAAGCUUGUAGGUAUUAUGCAAGAAUGCAUAUCCGAAAGGUAGAGAGAACAGAAGGAAAAAUAAUGGAUCGACCUAGGCAAUCAUGCCAGGAAACUUAAUUAUCACAUUCUAAAAGUACAAUGUCGGCUUAAACUCUAAACAUACUGUGAACUUUCCCCGUUUACAUGGCUUUUUGGAGAAUGGUAUUUCUUAUGCUAAUUAAACUUGCACAGAAGUUUGUUUCUUCUAUAUCUGGAAAUUUCUUUAUUUCUGUUGUAUCCGCAAUUUCUUCUCUUACGUCUAAUAUUUUUGGUUUCUAAUUUUUCAUUAAUGAUAAUGGUUUCUUGAUCUCGCUGCUGCUUAUUUUUUUCAUCAUCAUCACAUCAUUUUAUCAUCAUUACUAUUGUUGUUAUCCACUGUGAUAUUCUUCAUACAGGGUUUUACCACUGACAAUGAG